CUCGACUUCCGUUGGAAGAUAUCGAUGGGGCAAAUCCAGAAGUGCCAGAAGAUACUGGACGACCAAGCACGAGCUCAACUCGUGCCAGCCAUAGCCAUGGUCAGCGUGCUGCAUCCCAUCAGGUUGUCAGUAGGGCAGAUCUCCCUCCACCCCCACGUGCAUCUCCUGCCCCAGAGUUCCCUCCACCUCCACAUGCAUCUCCUUCCCUAGAGAUCCCUCCACAUACUGCUCAUGCAGUUUCUGACCUAGAUAUCUCUCUACCCACUACUCCUGCAUCUUUUCACCCCGAGAUCCCUUCACACACCUCACAUACAUUUUUUGAUCCUGCUCAUCUUUCAUUUACUCCACCAUCCUUUGAUCUCGGCCCUGAUUUCAAUCAAACCCCUCCUGUCAUGCACACGCAAUCCCCAUCGUACAACAUUGGUCAUAUAGACCAUGUACCGCCCCAUAGUCACUCCAUGUCAUUCAUGCCCACUCCUAGACUGCAUAUAGAUCCCAUGAGUACGGGCACUCACAUUUCAUUUGCUACACCAUCCUCCCCCGCAGUUGUUGGGAGUCAAGCAAAACAACCAGCUGUGCAUGUUGAGAAUGAGCAGGUUGUUGGGUUACAGUCACCCCCACAAGGUCGACCUAAACGUACAAUGAAAGCACCUCCUUGUGGGACAGGUGGUCACAAAGCAGGACACAACGCUGGCCCCACGCAACGUGAGGAGCCUCACGAAGGAGAUGCAGUACCCCCUCCCCCACAUACCAGACACUAUACGAGACAGCAUAAGCGUAAAAUGCAUUAGGAUUAGCAUCCCAUAGAGAAACAAAGGAGGACACUCGAGAAUUGGAGUUUCUGACCCUAAGUGAUGAUCAGCACUUAGCUUAGAAAACACCUCACUCUUUCUAGGUUGGACCUGAAAAUGCUUCACAGGUUUGUCCAGCCCCGUACUGAAUGAAGGGGAGCUUGAGUCCUUGCUAAAUGAUCCCUCUUUGAAACCUCAAGUUUUGCCAACAUUUUUUGAUAUUCGUAAAGGAGUUGAUGGUUCCUUGGAAAAGACACUAAAUAUAUAUAGUGAAGCUGCUGAUGAAGCUGUUCGAAAUGGUUCCCAACUGCUUGUUCUGUCAGACCGUUCUGAUGUGCUGGAACCAACUCGUCCGGCAGUUCCAAUACUUCUGGCUGUUGGUGCGGUUCAUCAGCAUCUUAUUCAGAAUGGAUUGCGAAUGUCAGCUUCUAUUGUUGCAGAGACUGCACAAUGCUUCAGCACUCAUCAGUUUGCCUGUUUGGUUGGAUUUGGUGCAAGUGCCAUAUGUCCAUACUUGGCACUAGAAACAUGCCGACAGUGGCGUCUGAGUAAUAAAACCGUAAACAAUUAUGAGGAAUGGAAAGAUGCCUACUGUAACAAUUGAGCAGGCUCAAAAGAACUUUUGCAAGGCUGUUAAAUCCGGUCUUCUCAAAAUUCUUUCCAAAAUGGGAAUCUCAUUGCUUUCUAGGCUUAAGCAAGGGAGAAAGCUGAAAAAGAGGGAUUUGAAGUAAGCAAUCCCAAGACCCAAAAUUUGGUGGCUAACACAAAGGCCCUAGCAGAAAAUGAAGGGGAGGGACUUGCCAAG